rnacentral:rRNA from 1 species
GAUGAACGCUGGCGGCGUGCCUAACACAUGCAAGUCGAACGGAGUCCAGCCUUUAAGACCUUCGGGUCAAAGAGGGGAAGACUGAGUGGCGGACGGGUGAGUAACACGUGGGCAACCUGGCUCAUAGAGGGGGAUAACAGAGAGAAAUUUCUGCUAAUACCGCAUAAGCACACACUGCCGCAUGGCAGAGGGUGAAAAGAGAAUCGCUAUGAGAUGGACCCGCGUCUGAUUAGCCAGUUGGCAGGGUAAGAGCCUACCAAAGCGACGAUCAGUAGCCGAUCUGAGAGGAUGAACGGCCACAUUGGGACUGAGACACGGCCCAAACUCCUACGGGAGGCAGCAGUGGGGGAUAUUGCACAAUGGGGGGAACCCUGAUGCAGCGACGCCGCGUGAGUGAAGAAGUAUUUCGGUAUGUAAAGCUCUAUCAGCGGGGAAGAUAAUGACAGUACCUGAAUAAGAAGCCCCGGCUAACUACGUG